GCUGGGUUGAUCUCUCAGUGAAAUUCAGUGGAAUAUCCUAUUAAGUCCGCAAAUAGAAGCCACAUUUUAUAGGUGGUGUUAUUUUUACCUGUGUGGUAUUGGAACAGCAAUCAGCUGUGGAGACAUUAUUAUCUGUAAUGAAGAUCACGGUGGAGGAGAAGACACAGCAAGGCCUUCUUGUUCCAUUGGCUCUGGAGUAGAGAAAUUUUUUUUGUAAAGAAAGUUAAAAUUAUUCACUUUUGUUCCACUUUCAUAAUAUUUAUUUAUUUAUUUUGGUACUAGAGACUGAAUAUAGGACUUCAUGAAUGUUAGAUAAACACUAUGAACUGUAUCUCCAUUUUUUUUUUCUCUACCUGGACUGAGAGAGUAGAAAUUAAAAUUCAGUGCUAAACCAACUGAUAAACUAAUAUCCAUUCUGGCAUUUUUCCUAUUUUUGUAUCUGAAAAAGAGUAGUUAGCUGUGCUAGCUUCGGCAGCACGUAUACUAAGAGUAGUUAGCCAAGAGCCGUAGGCAUUCAUGAUGAAAUAUACCAAAUGCAAUUUUAUGAUGUCAGUGUUCGGCAUUAUAAUCUACGUAACUGAUUUAGUUACAGACAUUCUCCUGUCUGUUAGGUAUUUCCAUGAUGGACAAUAUCUUUUUGGUGUUUUAACAUUAAGCUUUGUGCUUUGUGGAACACUCAUAGUUCAUUGUUUUAGCUAUUCAUGGUUGAAGGCUGACUUAAAGAAAGCAGGACAAGAAAAUGAACAUUGUUUUCUUCUACUUCAUUGCUUGCAAGGAGGAGUUUUUACAAGAUAUUGGUUUGCCUUGAGAAGGGGUUAUCAGGUGGCUUUCAAACGUAGCCGCAGGACGAGCCAUUUUAUGGAGGAACAAACGGAUCCUCACAAAGAAGCUAUAGACAUGACCACCGACUUGAGCAUGCUCAGGCUUUUUGAGACCUACCUGGAAGGCUGCCCACAACUCAUUCUUCAGCUCUAUGCCUCUCUGGAGUGUGGCCAGGCAAAUUUAAGUCAAUGUUUCUGGUUUCUGAAGCGCUGUAAACGCUGCACUAUCGAUGAAGAUUUUCCUGUCAUUGCCCAGAGUCAGGCUGAGUCUGAGGACAGGACCCAAGCAAGCUCCAGCCACUGCACAUCUCCAUGCCUGCCACCGCCAGUAUGAUGCAGAGUACUGUCCAGGACCAUGAAUAUUAGUCCAGAGGGGGUGAAGACAUCAGUGAUGGUGAAUGUUUUUUCACAAUGUAAGUAAGUUUAGACUAAUUUUCAACUUUAAACGGUUAACUCUUUUAUCUUUUGAAUGACAAACAUGUUGACUGCAGACUCUGAGAUCUUGCAUGUGCUGUAUUCACCUUUCCCAUCUCAACAUUCCUUUCUUUCUUAUGUAGCAUCCACUCUGCCUUCUUGCAGGACAUUGAGCUUCAGCACCUUCCCUCAGGUCAUUCAUUUGGAGAACUUUUCUCUGAGUGUUUCUCAUAAGUAGCUCCUUUUCAGCCUUCAAGCUUUAGUAAAUCCUCUGGAAUUCCAUCCUAUAUAAAAACAUUUGGUUAUACUGUAUAAAAACAUUUCCUCACCAAUGUUAUCUAACUUUCUAUUAUAGUCCUUUAUUUAGCUUAACCUGCAUACCUCUUUUACUUUCUAAUCACAUUCAAUUCUGUUUUCUGGUUUGACUAUUGCAUUGAUGAUAAACUUUGUGUGUAUAUAGUGUAUAUGUAUGUAUAAUAUGUAUGUGUGGCUGCAUUUGUCAUUGUGCUUGUGUGUGAUGUGACCAGAGGUUAAUCUAAGGAUGUUUUCCUUAAUCACUUCUCUGUUUUUUUGAGGUAGGGUCUCUCUCUUUCUAAACCAUGAUCUCACAGUUUUAGGUAGGUUGGCUGGUCAGUGAGGCCUUGCCAUUUGCUUGUCUCUGUUUUCCCUAGUGUUGGGGCGGCAGGCAUAUGUUUCUAUGCCUGUCUUUUUAUGUGGGUGAUGUAGACUUUAUCUGUAGUCAUUAUGCUUGCAUAAGAAGCACUGAUUCAUGGAGUCAUCAAUCUCUUAGACUAUGAAUCUAAGAUACUAUGAUUAUAUUCAUUGUAUAAUAACAAAUGAAUGACCUGUGCUGGGCAUUAUGUAUUGAAUGAAUAUACAUUAACAUCUGCAGAAAUCCUGCAGACAUCUAUGAAAUCCACGGACAGAAAGAUGUAUACAUUGGGCAGUUAUUCAGGCAGGAUUUCACCAAAUAUUCAUGAUGGCCUGGGGCUUUUACUUGUACUAAAUCACUAUAGAGAGUGUAACAGGCUUUUGGAGACUGUACCUCCAGUCUUUUGACAUAUCUUUGCUAAUUCAUUACCAAAGAAUUGAAUUACACUUUGCUCUGUUUACAACGUAGCUGCAAUUUGACGAGAUGAAGUCCGUGGCGAGCCAUCUGGGUCUCAGGUCCUUCUUUGACUCUGAGCAGUGAGACAAAAGCACUCCUGUCUUUCUCGCCCUGAUGGAGAACAGACUUCUUCCCUGGAGUGGAGCCGAGUGGUAAUGUGCCUCUAAGGACUGCACUGAGUAAACCUUGAGAGCAAGGUGCAGUCAAAGCUGAUUAAAAUCACACCAUUUCAUAACACUGCUUACAGGCUGAGACGGAUCCCGGGAAGCUCUGAGGAGCGAGAGCUGGCUGCACGUUGAGCCGCAGCUUGGAUCUGUUCUCCUACCCCUUGAGCUGUUUGUUUAGCACCGCACAGAAACAGACUUCCUGGUUUGUCUCUUAUAAUAAAACUUCAGCUUCCUCUUGGUGUCUUAGCUCGCUGAUGAGAUAGCUGCAGAUGUCACAGAUUUCCGUGCGGGGCUGGAAGUUAAGACCACGCCCUUGUCUCUCCCCUGCUCUCUGAAAUGAAGAUGUAGUAAUAUGUUAGGGAGACGGAGGGGAGGAAGACAGGGAAGGAGGGAGAGCACCAUAUCUCUUAGACACUUUUAGUAUGCUCGUAUCCCAUGCAGUUUCCACUCUCUGUCCCAGGAUGACGGCUUUCAGGAGGCUGCCUACUGCCCUUUCAGUAUUCAGACGUUUCUUUUUGAGGGGUGACAAGAAGAUGGCUGUUACUGGAACUUACGGAAGGGUUACUUAACGACUUGAAGACUUCAGGCAAACCACUUAACAUCCCUGAGUCCCAAUUUCCUUAGGUUGAAUAGAAAUAGCAGCUGCUGCUUACCUCAUAGGGUUGUUUUAAGAACCAAAUAAAAUAAUGGAAACGAAAAUAUUUUGCAUCCUGUGAAGCUCAUUACAAAUGUAAAGUGCUAUUGUCCUUG